AAACAUGUCCUCUCGUAGACUUCUUUCUUUUCAUAUCUGUUGGUGAGCAGGGGGCAGAAUUAUUCUGGCAGACGGAAGGGGUCGGUUAACAAUUUGUUGCCGCCAAUUUUUACCAUUUGAACAAAUUGUAACAAUUUCAUUAGUAAUAUAAACUAUUAACUAUAAACAAGGAUUUCUAACUAUAAUCCUUGCUAUGAAGGUUAUUUAUUUUUUUUAUUUUUCUUUUUAUUAUUCAAAUAUAUAGUUUAAUUUUUCGUAUGAUAUAUUUAUUCAUCUCCAAUGUUCAUAAAUUUCAGGGACAGAUAUGGUA
rnacentral:lncRNA from 1 species